GCGCCCUUAGCUCAGUUGGUAGAGCAAUUGACUCUUAAUCAAUGGGUCGUUGGUUCGAAUCCAACAGGGCGUA
rnacentral:tRNA from 1 species